GUCGAGAAUCUUUCACAAUGGGGGCAACCCUGAUGGAGCGACGCCGCGUGGAGGAUAAGGUCUUCGGAUUGUAAACUCCUGUCAUGCGUGAACAAGGUUGCUUGGUUAAUACCUGGGCAAAUUGAUGGUAACGCAAGAGGAAGAGACGGCUAACUCUGUGCCAGCAGCCGCGGUAAUACAGAGGUCUCAAGCGUUGUUCGGAAUCACUGGGCGUAAAGGGUGCGUAGGUGGCGUGGUAAGUCAGAUGUGAAAGCCCGGGGCUCAACCUCGGAACUGCAUCCGAUACUGCCAUGCUAGAGUACUGGAGAGGUGACUAGAAUUCUCGGUGUAGCAGUGAAAUGCGUAGAUAGCGAGAGGAAUACCAAAGGCGUAGGCAGGUCACUGGACAGUUACUGACACUGAGGCACGAAGGCCAGGGGAGCGAACGGGAUUAGAUACCCGGGUAGUCC
rnacentral:rRNA from 1 species